rnacentral:rRNA from 1 species
UACGUAGGGGGCGAGCGUUAUCCGGAAUCACUGGGCGUAAAGGGUGCGUAGGCGGCCUAUACAGUCAGGGGUGAAAGGCUACGGCUUAACCGUAGUAAGCCUUUGAAACUUAUGGGCUUGAGUGCAGGAGAGGAGAGUGGAAUUCCUAGUGUAGCGGUGAAAUGCGUAGAUAUUAGGAGGAACACCAGUGGCGAAGGCGACUCUCUGGACUGUAACUGACGCUGAGGCACGAAAGCGUGGGGAGCGAACAGG